GGUGGCAUAGUGGUUAGAGCGUCAGCCUCGGAUGCGAGAGGUCGUGGGUUCGAUCCCCAAUAGUCCUACCA